UCGUAACAAGGUCUCCGUUGGUGAACCAGCGGAGGGAUCAUUACAGAGUUUACAACUCCCAAACCCUUAUGUGAACAUACCACGAUGUUGCUUCGGCGGACUCGCCCCGGCGUCCGGACGGCCUAGCGCCGCCCGCGGCCCGGAUCCAGGCGGCCGCCGGAGACCACCAAAACUAUUUUGUAUCAGCAGUUUUUUCUGAAUCCGCCGCAAGGCAAAACAAAUGAAUCAAAACUUUCAACAACGGAUCUCUUGGUUCUGGCAUCGAUGAAGAACGCAGCGAAAUGCGAUAAGUAAUGUGAAUUGCAGAAUUCAGUGAAUCAUCGAAUCUUUGAACGCACAUUGCGCCCGCCAGCAUUCUGGCGGGCAUGCCUGUUCGAGCGUCAUUUCAACCCUCGACUUCCCUUUGGGGAAAUCGGCGUUGGGGACUGGCAGCAUACCGCCGGCCCCGAAAUGGAGUGGCGGCCCGUCCGCGGCGACCUCUGCGUAGUAAUCCAACCUCGCACCGGAACCCCGACGUGGCCACGCCGUAAAACACCCCACUUUCUGAACGUUGACCUCGGAUCAGGUAGGAAUACCCGCUGAACUUAAGCAUAUCAAUA
rnacentral:misc_RNA from 1 species